ensembl:snRNA U1 U1 spliceosomal RNA
UUACUUACUCGGCAGGGGAGAUACUCUGAUCAAGAAGGCAGUCCAUCCAGGGUGAGGCUCAGCCACUCCAGCUGUGCUGACCCCCCAAAUUCCCCAAAUGUGGGAAUCUUGGCUGAAUAAUUUCUGGUAGUAGGGGACUGCAUCUCCCCUU